CCUACGGGAGGCUGCAGUAGGGAAUUUUCGUCAAUGGGCGCAAGCCUGAACGAGCAAUGCCGCGUGAACGAGGAAGGUCUUCGGAUCGUAAAGUUCUGUUGAAGGGGAAAAAGAGCGGAGCGAUGAAAUGGUCUCCGAUUGAUAUUACCCUUCGAGGAAGUCACGGCUAACUACGUGCCAGCAGCCGCGGUAAUACGUAGGUGGCGAGCGUUAUCCGGAUUGAUUGGGCGUAAAGGGUGCUUAGGAGGCCUACUAAGUCUGGAGUGAAAGGUACCGGCUCAACCGGGACAGGCUCUGGAAACUGGCGGGCUAGAGAGCAGGAGAGGGCGGUGGAACUCCAUGUGUAGCGGUAAAAUGCGUAGAUAUAUGGAAGAACACCAGUGGCGAAGGCGGCCGCCUGGCCUGUUACUGACGCUGAGGCACGAAAGCGUGGGGAGCAAAUAGGAUUAGAUACCCUUGUAGUC
rnacentral:rRNA from 1 species